CUGUGUAUACACACGGAGCGCGCACAUAAAGAAGAUAGUAAUAAACAAUCCUCAAUUUGUACGAUGUUCGGAAGUUUUUGCAAUAUUUCUUGUUUUGAAAAGUUCAAAAAAUCGUAAAAAUUGACCAAAUCGUAGGUCGAGCCGACGAUAAUCACGAUAGUGUACCGCAUUUUCACUGUAGUGCAACGUCCCGCGAUGCCGGAGCAGAAAAAUUUUGAAGAAAGUCGGAUAACUUUCCACCAUUUUCCGACCAACAAAUUGUUGAGACGGAAAUGGUUAAACUUUUUCGAAUACAAAAGCUCGUUCGAUACGCGAAACAUAUUUGUUUGUUCGCUUUAUUUUUCGCCGGAUUCUUUUGGGGAUACUGUUUUAACCUAUAAUCAGCAAAGAAGACGUCUUCGUACUGGAGCUGUUCCAUGCAUUCGCUUCUUGGAUCUUCCAAAAUGUUCCGUUUCAAUGGUUUCACACGAAAUUCCAAAUUUACACAUUCACUUCUUGCGAAAGUGCAAAAUAUUUAUUUGCAAUCACUUCGGAAGAUGAUCCGGGAUGGAGGAAAUGUUUUUCUCAUUUUCCAGAAACGCCAAUUUGGUCCCUUAAGUGGCCCCACUACGGCUGAACACUCCAAACUGAGACCAAUGAAAGCGUCGCGAUGAUUCAUGAUGGAUGCUUCAAUGAAAGGCAAAAAAAUCAGCAGUGUUCAUCUUUCAUCAUAUUAUCAAAUUGCGGGAACGACACUGCUUCGAUAUAACCUCUCCACACAUUCGUUCAUCGUUUUUUGCGUUAUUUUUAUAAUACAGGUGCGAUAAUUUCACUGUUUUUAAUUUUAAAAUGAUUAAGUAAACUGUUGUUUCAUGCCCUGGAAACAUAUUUUGAGACAGUUCUUUUGUUACAAUUUAAAAAAAUUCAAAAAUGUUCGAAUUUAUAUGAGUUCAACCGAUGGUUUAUUACAAUUUUGACGUAGGACUACGUCUAACCGGAAGAUAUAGGGGGUGAAAUGAAAAUCUAGGCACUGAACAGGUAAGAAAAAAUGCAAGAUUUGGAACGCCUAUAACUCGAGCAUUUCUCAAUAGAUCGCAAAGGUUUUUGCAUCAAUUGAUAGGAAAUAUAUCUACGCAUCUAUCAUAACGAAUAACAUUUAAUUUUUCUUGAGAUAAAUAAUUGAAUAAUUGUGAAAUAUCAAGCAUUGUCCAAAUGCACUAUGUGCCCAUUUUUGAUUGGUCCAUUUUGUGCUCCUCAAAUUGUACCGACCAAAACGGGCAACCAGAGCAGCAGCGAAAUAGAAUGAAGCACGAUUGGAAAGGAAAAAGAAAAAAU